rnacentral:rRNA from 1 species
AAAUGAAUAGACGGGGACCCGCACAAGCGGUGGAUUAUGUGGAUUAAUUCGAUGCAACGCGAAAAACCUUACCUACCCUUGACAUGUCCUGAAGCCUGGAGAGAUCCGGGUGUGCCCGAAAGGGAACGGGAACACAGGUGCUGCAUGGCUGUCGUCAGCUCGUGUCGUGAGAUGUUGGGUUAAGUCCCGCAACGAGCGCAACCCUUGCCAUUAGUUGCUACAUUCAGUUGGGCACUCUAAUGGGACUGCCGGUGACAAACCGGAGGAAGGUGGGGAUGACGUCAAGUCCUCAUGGCCCUUAUGGGUAGGGCUUCACACGUAAUACAAUGGUCGGUACAGAGGGUUGCCAAAGCGCGAGCUGGAGCCAAUCCCAGAAAGCCGAUCGUAGUCCGGAUUGCAGUCUGCAACUCGACUGCAUGAAGUCGGAAUCGCUAGUAAUCGCGGAUCAGCAUGUCGCGGUGAAUACGUUCCCGGGUCUUGUACACACCGCCCGU